GGAGCGGGUCGGAUGAUCGCCGGGGCAACCCGGAGGAAAGUCCGGACUCCAUCGGGCAGGAUGCUGGCUAACGGCCAGGCGCUAUAAGGCGUGUUCGUGGGUUUCCCAUACGGCCGCCGAAGGCGACGGACAGUGGCACAGAAAACAGACCGCCCGGGCUGGUGAAGGCUGGCUCGGGCAAGGGUGAAAAGGUGGGGUAAGAGCCCACCGCACGGCUGGUGACAGACGUGGCAGGCCAAACCCCAUCCGGAGCAACAUCAUGUAGGCACGCGACGCGGCCUUGUGCCGCACAGGGCGCCCGCCCGAGCGUGCGGGUGGAUGGCUAGAGCCGCCCGGUAACGGUCGGCCCAGAGGAAUGAUCAUCGCGCCCCAUCGGGGUGGACAGAAUCCGGCUUACAGACCCGCUCCCCCU
rnacentral:RNase_P_RNA from 1 species